rnacentral:lncRNA from 1 species
AUCCUUCAGCUACCCAUUGCAUAACUAACUCAUCCUUUUCAAUAUCAUGAUCCUCCGCAUACAUACCAAUAUAUAAUAAGCAUGUCUUGAGAUGAUGAGGAAGAUGAGUGUAACUAAGGUUUAGUAUCUGUCUCAUCCCUUCGGGCCAUCAAUACCAACAAGUCUUGACGAUUCCACAUAAAGAGCAGAUAUCCGAGGGUCGACAGCAACACCACCGGAUCUAGUCUUGCAGUCAUCUAGCUUGUACCUCAUGUGCCGCGCACUAGCCUCUUGCACACGGAUCUUGAGCUCUUGAAUUUGGUUGGCGAGCUGAUGCCGCGCCCUUAGCGUCUUAAGACGGCGCAACAAUCCUUUACCGUCGCAGGAACCUCCAACACGGUGCAUGAACUCAUCGAUGCAGUCCUCGAUGUCGUAGGACAUUUCCCUCACUUUGUUCCUCCACUGCUUGGUUUGGUUGUCCAGGUGCUCCAUGUCAGCGAGAUCUUCCAGGAGAGCGGCCAUGCUGCUGAGCUCCUCAUGGAGGAACGCCACCUGCAGGAUUGGGUUCAAGAAUUAAGAUAAAAGAAGGGGGCAAACUCCAUGAGACCAUGAACAAAAAAUUUGGAUCAAAAGGCACCUGUUUCCGCACAUCCUUGAGCUUGGCAUACUUUUCCCCCAUAAGAGUGGCUAGCUUUCCUAGGAGCGAGUUCAUCACUCCCACUGAGGCACUCACCAGUAUCUUCUCUGCCAUUCUGACAACCCUUCUCGGAUGCCGCCGCCGUGGAGGAUGAGGAUGGUGACCACGGGCGAGCGAAAAACCAGCGGUGGAACCUGGCGGGCUUGAUCGUUCCGAUCCGCCCGGAUUUACACGGGGGAGACGCCGGCCGCGUUGUUUCCGGGGGAGCGGGAGGAGCGAGCGGCCGGCGGCGCUAUGCCAUGGAGCGAUGGAGCAGUGAAGGUGACGGACGGCGGGGGCGAUGACCUCGGGUCAGCGCAAGGAGCUGGAGGGCGCGGGGCGGGGCGGGGCGGGGCGGAGCUGGAGGGGCUGGGGCGCGUGAAUGGAUAAGAGGGAGAGGAAGGGAAGGAAAGGGGAAGGAUAAGAAGACAAGUCAGUAUGCCAUGUUCAUGAAAAUUAUGAAAUACAAGUCACCCUCAGCAUCUGGCGAUAAGCAUAUGAAUUUACUAGACGUACUCGCCCCAUGUUAUUUGGAGUCAGCACAGGCCUGUCAGUGGUUCGAUGAGUUUUGUAGGGUCCCGCCCCUUGCGCUUUUUGGAUGAUCCGUUUAUACAUCCUAUGCCAACAGACCGUGCACCCUGCACAUGCUCAAGUACAGUCACUAACAGUGAAGAAUGUUUGUAGACACUUCCUUUGAAUAAGAAUUCGGUGUUUGGAUACGAGGUGUUAAACUUUAACAGUGUCACAUCGGAUGUUCGGAUGCUAAUUAGGAGAACUAAACAUGAGCUAAUUAUAAAACUAAUUGCAGAACCCUGUGCUAAUUCACGAGAUGAAUCUAUUAAGCCUAAUUAAUCCAUCAUUAGCAAUUGGUUACUGUAGCACCACAUUGUCAAAUCAUGGACUAAUUAGGCUUAAUAGAUUCGUCUCGUGAAUUACACUCCAUCUGUGCAAUUAGUUUUAUAAUUAACCUAUGUUUAAUACUCCUAAUUAGCAUCCAAACAUCCGAUGUGACAGGUGUUAAACUUUAACACAUCGUUGCCAAACAGGCCCGAAUUCAUUGAUACAAAUGAGGCAUUUCCACUAAGAAAGAUGCCACUGGAUUCAGUAUGACAGUGACAAACGUGAAAAAGCCCUUAUUUACUUCACCCCUAACUCCCAAUUUUAACACUAUGCAAAAAGAAGAUUCCCCAUCACAUCAAACUUGCGGUACAUGCAUGGAGUACUAAAUAUAGAUGAAAUUAAAAACUAAUUGCACAAUUUUGUUGUACUUUGCGAGACGAAUCUUUUGAACCUAAUUAGUCAAUGUUUGGACAAUAAUUCACAAAUACAAACGAAAUGCUAUAGUGUGCUACAGUGCCGGCACAGUAAUUUUGGCACUCCCAAUUUUGGGAACUAAACAAGGCCAAAGUGGAGGGAUAUACCUGGGAAUGGGGAGUGCCUGAUAAUUGGCAUUGAGGUAGUGAUUGCUCAACUGGUUGUCCUGCAAGAGCAAAACCAGAACAUACAACAGUGCUAGGUUUUCCUCAAAAGAUAAAACCUAGCACAGAAGGAGACAAACUUGAGACAACAGAAGGAGUUGUUGCAACACUCGUUUGUUGUAGUGAAGUUGUAGUGAAGCCCUGGUUGGCAAGUGAACCUGUAACCACUGUUUGGUAUUGCCCGUAGCCAGGUGGGAAGCAGUCAUGAUUGGUGGACACAGUUAGCAAGGUCAUUUGCGCUUGCUUGCAACACUUGCUUUUGAGGCAAUGCGCUGGGGCACAACCUAGUGAUGAUUCUGUCAAUAUCUGUAGGGUCAAAUUGAUCUUCAUUUGUAGAAAAAGCUGGCUCCUGGAUAGGAUUCCUGUUUCUGGUACAUUCUGGCCGUGUAUGCUUACUACAUGUGCGAUGAAUAUCUUCACUUGAAGAACUGAAAUUCCCUUUUCGAUCCUCAGCGCUAGUUUUGCUGCUCCUUUUUACUGAUCUGAUCCCACUCAGCUGUGUUAUCACUUGAAUCGACUUUCACCUGAUCAGCACAAGCAGUUUGACUUGGAGGCUCUACAGUUCCUGCUCCGCGAUACUACUAGAAAUAACAUGUCCGCUUUGAUUCUCUCCGUGGACCUCCUCUGCAUGCAUAGAAUGAUUGGAGAGCCCUUGUGCAUGGUUGACCUUGUUAGGAUGCUCCAAUCUUACCCUGUCUACACAUGCAGAUCCAGGACUAGCUGAUGGUCUAUAUUUCUUCCUAAAACCAUGCCCGUCAACAGUUUCGUUGAGGACAGGUGCACUUGUUGCGCAAUCCACAUGAAUAGCUGUCCUUGUUUGAUCUGGGGAACUGAUUGACUCUUCUCUAACUGAACGAGCAAUGGCCGUCAAUCGGAAAAAAAUGCUUACCAUUUCGGGAGGAUCGUGGCAUCCAUGUCCUGCAUAUUACGCCAAUCAGUAAUGGAAACAUCUUUCCCGCCCCCAAUUUCUCCACCCAGGGUCCAGGGGUGUUUGGGAAAAUCUGGGUCUCGUGGAUUUGGGAAGAGUAAAAUACACGACGGUCUUUGAACUUAUCUUGUGUUAUCAUCCGGAUCCCAAAACUCUCAAAAGUAGAUUUUUAGAACUUCAAAUUUAUCUCAAAGUGUGAUCUGGGUUCCUAAACUCUUAUUGUUACUACUGUAAAAUUUGUAAGAGAAACAAAACUUUCACAUUUUCAUUGUAACUACCCCUUAACCUAACUACGGCACACUGGACCUAAUCAGUUACUCUCCCAGAACAAAUGAUUAAGCAACGAUGGUAUUAUAGAGGAAUACACAAUCGAAAUAGAGUAAAAGUGGCAUAUGCCGCAUGACAAACUUGGCAAGCAACCUUAAAAUCUACCACCGUACCCUUUUAAAAAAAAACUACCACCAUACAAGCGUCUCUACUUCCGUGCACUAAAAUCGUGCUCACCAGAGCUUGUGGCAUGGGAGAGUUUGAUAUCAACAGGGAUAGCUUCAUGUCGAUGGCCUCAAUGAGCUUAAGGGGUGUUUGGAUACGAGGUGCAACUUUAGCAGGAUCACAUCGGAUGUUCGGAUGGUAAUUAGAAGGAUUAAACAUGAGCUAAUUACAAAACUAAUUGCACAGAUGGAGUCUAAUUCGCGAGACGAAUCUAUUAAGGCUAAUUAAUCCAUCAUUAGCAAAUGGUUACUGUAGCACCACAUUAUCAAAUCAUGGAGUAAUUAGGCUUAAUAGAUUCGUCUCGCGAAUUAGACUCCAUCUGUGCAGUUAGUUUUGUAAUUAGACUAUAUUUAAUACUUCUAAUUAGUAUCAAAAUAUCCGAUGUGACAGGUGCUAAACUUUAGUACACUGGAGCCAAACAGACCCUUAGUGGUGAUUAUGUUGGUGGUGGAUGAGGGAGCAAUGAUUACCGGUUUCAAGCAAGUGAAAUGUGAAGAACGAAGUAUGUGAAGAUUGCGGUGUUAAAGAUGGCAAGGUGGCUUAGUCGUUGGGUCUCUGUGGCAGUUUGCAACUUCGGGUAUGUUGGGUAACCCUAGGCACAAAAAACCGAGAAUUGAGAACCAAACCGAACUAACCGAAACUGAAGUAACCGAAACCAAAAAAUUCAGUCCCAGGUUUGGUCCAGGUUCCUAGGAACCGAAAUUAUUAUGGUUAAUUCGGUUCCAUCACUCGGUUAACCGAAUUGACCUGAAAUAACCGAAAGACCCAUAGAAUGCAGGCUUGAAUAUUGCUCUAUGCUUGAAUAUUUGAGAGAACAAUAACAUAUAUGUGUUGUACUGUUGUUUUAUGCUGCAUUGCUGUUUAAAUUGUCCCUUUUGACUACAUCAAAAUUAGGCAAAAUAUCGCCAAAAUUUGUAAUUGAAUGAGUUGUUUCUUGGUUCCUGAAAAAUUUGGUUCCAUCGGUUAGAACCGAAAUGGAACCAAAUUAACCGAAACCGAAAUUUCUCGGUUCCCCAUUUUCAAAGUAACUGAUUGGUUCCUUCUUCUCAAGUAACAGAAUUAGCUGAAGAACCGAAGAACCGAACCGAUCCAGGGUGAGUGUUGGGUACCUUUGCCGGAUCUUGCUUUGCUAGGCUAGGCAAGAAAUCUUGAAUUUGGUUGUCUUGCUCACUGUCUCGAUUUCUGUGCGGUCAAGAAUCUUCCUUGCUGGCCUAGGCUAACCGUGCCGAGCCCGUGCCCCCAACUAGUCCGAGCGCGUUGGGAUUUUGCCUGCCUACGGCUGCUAUAAGGUCGGGCUUCGUUUAUGCUUUGGACCUCUAUUUGCUUCAUUGGACCAGUUAGAGGAGGCUGUUUUUUUUACUGUAGUGUAUUUAAGCACUAUUUUACUGUACCCAGCACUCUAGGUCGCCGCUCAAUUUUGUGCUAGGUCCGUCAGAGGGGAGCACCAUCCAUUAGGUGUUGCACGAAUAAAAUUUUACCAAAUUUUCUGUUGCCGGUACACCCUAUUUGUAACAUUUUUCCAAAUACGGUAGUACAUUUACAUUUUCUAAAAGCAGGCUAAUAGAUACACAAUUUAAUGAAGAUGCAAUGCUAGGAUUGCGCUAACGCAAUCUGUUUAUGUUAAUUGGUAGAGAAGUUCUACAAUAUAAGUGCAAUUUAAUCAUCAUCAUCAAACUUGCCAGUGAUCGGAGAGGUUACUAUCCAUAGAAGCUUGUUAUAUGAAAGACGAGGCGUCCUGGAUGAUGCUCGUCGAAGAUGGCCCUUAUUGCAGCCUCUACCAUUGGUACAUCUGAUUCCCAGGUGUAGCCCAAACCGAUGGCUACUCUUUUCAGAUUCGUCAGAUGCUCGACGCCGGCAAGCCUGAUGCCACACGAAUUCACUUCAUCCACAUCCAAUUGAAACCUGAGGGUCUCAACCUUGGGCACUGCUCCAGCUUGGAAGUGUAAGGAGUGGCCUGUUCGACGAGAUUCGAAGUAAUCAAGAGAACUGAACGCCGCACUGCUGCUGAAGACAAUCCCUUCAUCAGGGACAUUCGUCGCCCCUAGCACAAGAUGGGCAAGGGCAGGUAACCCUGCAAGAACAGAAAUAUCAUCGUUGCACAGCUCGUCAACAUGGAUUUCCAGGCUGCUGAGCGUGCUAAGCUGACCAACCCACAUAGGUAACCUUGGAAAGUUGAAUCCCAGGCGGAGUUGUUCGAGACGACAGUCUGACAAGCACAAUGAGUUCCACUCAUCAUAGUAGCCAACUGCUGCGGAAAAAUCGAAGUGCCUCAGAUUGCCAUUGAGUAACUUCUGGAUGGAAUAAAACAGAGCAUCCUUGUUUCCGUAGUGCGGAAGCUGUCAUCAGUGAAAUGCAUGUCCAGCUCCCUUAGAUUCAGCAGUUCCCCAAGAGCCCUUAAAUUAUCAACUGACUGCUUGCUUGGAUCAAACCCCUUCAGAGUACAAAGAGAUUUCAUCUUGCUAAUCCCAUCAGGAUAAGCUAUGCACACAGAAACCUCCAAAUAUGACAAAGCAGGCAAAUGGACAAUAUCUUGAGGAAGUUCGACCAACGGCGCAUCUAUAACCAAUGUCUCCAGAUGACGUAGCCCACAAAUGUGUUUAGGCAGUUGCAUGCUCGAUCCAGGGUAGGAGCAUUGAACAUUUAAGUAACUCAGUUGAAACAGUUUCCCAAUUGGAGCGAGGUCCAAACCAUCAACCUUACAAACAAACAGAACUCGGAUAAACUUCAGCUCCAACAGUUCAAUGCUACGAUGACGCAACCCAAAAAUACACAGUGAUCGAACAUGUGUCAGACUCAUCCAAGGUGCGAUUUUAUCAAGUUCUGCCUCACCAAGCUGCAGAGAGAGCCGGCGAGUCUUGCAAUGCUGUCUUCUGGUGAUUGUCUCCAUGUUUUCUACCACGCACAGAAAAUUCUCUUCUGCAGACUUGGACACAAUUAGAUCCAGAACCAUAUCAUGAACUUUAUGAUAGAUACGCUCCAUGUAAAAAGUAUGAUGUUCCACAAGCUGGAUGAUCAUACUCCUAUUCACCAAUUCAUUGAAAUAGCUCCCUGCAAUUUCCAAUGCAUCUCUCCCAUCUAUUCCACAGACAAAUCCUUCAGCUACCCAUUGCAUAACUAAGUGAUCCUUUUCAAUAUCAUGAUCCUCCGGAUACAUACCAAUAUAUAAUAAGCAUGUCUUGAGAUGAUGAGGAAGAUGAGUGUAACUAAGGUUUAGUAUCUGUCUCAUCCCUUCUAAAGUUGGAUUUGACCUCAGAUCGGAACGUAAAGAAUUAAGGACAUAAUUCCAUUGGCUCACUGAUCUGGUCGAUUGACUAGCUAGAAGGCUAGCUAUACUGAUGAUUGCUAGUGGCAGUCCACCACAUUUUUGAAGAAUUUUUUCAGAUGGUUCUUCAAAUGGAUGAGGACAUGUAUUUUCCAACCCAAAAACUCUACCAUAAAACAACUGCCUGGAACUAUGAUCGUCAAGAGGUUUCAUCCUGUAAACAAAUUCCCACUGAAAAUUGCAACAUGUCACUGCCACCCUUUCGAUUCGUGUAGUUGUCAACACUUUGCUACCAUAGUGGCCCUCGGGGAAAGCACAUUUUAUAAUUUCCCAUGCUGAUGCAUCCCAUAAAUCAUCAACUACAACCAAAUACCUGCCAAUAUGCGUGUCCAAAUACACAUAUUAAUAUGAUACAGCAAGUAAAAGGUUUCUUUUUAUAAACAACUUGCACUGCUUUCAACUAAAAUAAAUCUGUUGAACUAUAACAUCCAAAAUAACGUGUCUAUGUAACUUGUUAGCUAAACCAGCUGAAUUAGCUUGCCAAAAUUCCGAUUCAUAGUAAAGAUUGUAACAUCACCCAUAUGAGCUCUAGAAAUGUACUGGAGAUUGUCUCAAUAAAUAGAUGAACCUUAAGGAAAUGUAUUGUAUUGGAUCAGCAAAGCAAAGUAAGUAAAACAAAUUUGACCCUAACCUAUUUUAAUUUUGAAAUUCUGAUUUUAUUGUGCAUAUUUAAAUUUCAAAGAAACUGAAAUUCAAUCUAGUUAAAAACGUGGAAGUUACAAAUCCUGCAGCUUAAAAUGGUGCGUAGAAAAGAGUGGAGUGUUGGUGAGAGGUACAGUUGAACUUCAAUUCAUAGUGCCAUGUAUGUAAAGGCCACAAAAAAGGAACAGGAAACACAAAUCAAUGCCAGAUAACCUAGUGAAAUAAGACCAAAAGUGAGCCACCUCCCACUAUAGACAUGGAAGCAAGCUAUGUGUCAUUAGGAUUGUGCUCUGUUGUCAUCACGCUUUGUUCAUUCUUUUAGUACUUUUAUACUUUCUAAUAAUAUGUUAAGAUAGGUUAGAAAUGUGAGCGUUGAUGUGUUGAAAAGAAUCUAGGAGUGUAGGACAAGAAUAAAUACCUUUUGUCCUGUAGAUACUUUCUAAGGUUAUGUAUGAGCCCAUUCAACUCGCAAAUGUCAGGUCUUUGAGACACUGGGACAAAAGCCUUGCAAGCAAAACUUUCACCAAAGUUUUUGUAUACUUCAUUUGCAAGGCCUGGCGUGGGGCGCAGCCGAGGAGGUGGCGUGGGGCGUGGGGCGUGUGUGGGAGCUGGGAGGAGGGCCUCCCGGCGUUAGCGAACACAUGCACACCAUCGAGUUGGGCUACCGAGUCGCGAUCGAGGAGUUCGACGCUGAAUCACUGAAGGUCGUCGACAUCGCCGUUCGUAGUCGCCACCGAGGUUGCCUUCGCUUCUCUGGUUGGCCGUACAGACAAGAUUCCCAGACGCAUCUACGUACACCAGGUCCCUAUGACCAUGCGACUCCAUGAAACGAACCGGAACAGCACGAGAAGAAGGAAAUGUAGCUACCGAUGCAUGCAAGAUUGAACCAGGGAUGUUUUCCGAUUGAACAGCACGUACAAAGGGAGCAUAUUCUUUACUCGGCGUGGCGUGUUGACACAGAUCAAUUCGUCAAUUUCAAGAUCGGAGCGGACAGGAUCUGUUUGUCGCCAGCAAAUUAGCCGACGCCAUCGAAGUCCAAGUCACCGGACCACAAGGAAGUUUCCUCCAACUUGCCGAGUGCCCGAGUCCCGUACGGAAGCGGUGAAGUUUAUUCCAUCCGCUGCUCACGCGGAUCAAUGCACAAGCAAUACGCGGACUGCAUGUUCUUUUAUUGGGCUUUACAGUGCCCCUAACAACUCCCGAUCAUGGGCUAUGCAGCAUGCAUCACCACACCAUCAAAAUAGCAAGCGCCUGUUUGUCGCCAGCAAAUUAGCCGCCGUCGUCGAAGUCGAAGUCACCGGACCACAAGGAAGGUCGCGUUUGGAUCCAGUGGCAAGCCUCGCCUCGCUUUGUCUGCACAGAAGACGGAGAUAGUAGAUGAGUUUGGGCCUUGUUUAGUUGAGGCCCGAAUCUAGCUUUGUACAGUGUUUGGGCUUCCUUUUGGGACUUUUGAACUAAACGACCUGCCCGAUUUCGGCCCAAACUUCGCAACCUUAUCCAGCGGCAGACGACCGGCCGCACUCCCAACCCUAGCACCGUCCGCAGUCACGCUCCCUCUCCCCCGCGCCGCUCGCCUCUCCCCCGCCGCUCUCCCCCUCCCCGCCGCUCUCCCCCCUCCCCCGCGCCGCUCGCCCUCUCCCCCGCCGGUGUCCUCUCCCCCGCCGUUCUCCCCCUCGCCCGCGCCGCUCGCCCUCUCCCCCCGCCGGUGUUCGCUCCACCGCCGCUAUCCCUCUCGCCCGCGCCGCUCUCAUCUCCCCCGCCAAUCUCCCCCUCCCCCGCAGAUCUCCCCCUCGCCCGCGCCGCUCGCCCUCUUCCUCGCCGGUGUACGCUCCCCCGCCGCUCUCCUCCUCGCCCGCACCGCUCGCCUCUCCCCUGCCGCGCUCGCCUCUCCCCCGCCUAGAUCUGUCCCCCUCGGCCGCUGUCCCACUCCCCCGCCAGGAUAUCGCCGCAUCCGCUCCAAUCGACCUUUCCACCACCAGAUCCAGGACGUACUCAGUCCGCUGCACCGCGUCCGGUACCGGGUGCACCGUUGUUGACCCAGGCGGCGGCGAUGGACCACUUCAACGAGGAAGGGGACGGCGCGGAGUUCAACGCCGGCGGAUCUAGACUCCCCGCGGGCUUCACCGCCAGCGGAUCCGGCAACCCCGCUCCCUUCAACGCCGGCGGAUACGGAGAUGGCUUUUCGGGUUUGGACUUCGGCAACGUCCCCGACUACGACGCCGGCCACCGCACUAGGAACUUGUUCUCCCUGGCGCCGCCGGGCUCAGGAAGCGGUGCGUACAACCCCUUCUCCUCUGUGCCGCAGAAGACCCUAUCGUCCACCUUGCCCACCCCAAGCCAGCUGGGCAUGGCCGGCCUCAACCUGAAUGCAACCUCCGGGUGGCUGAACAUGAACGACUACGAAGGCAUCCUUCGCUCCGGCGACCGAGUUGGAGGAGGCGGCAGCAGCCGAGUCGGCCCUCCCGGCGGAGAGGGUUCCGGCAGCGGUGUCCAGGCCACGGCUCCCUUGCCUCGUCAGCGGCGUCCUACGGCCAGGGCACGCGGUUCCCGGCGUCGUGGCGCGGCUCAAGCAGUGGAAGCCGAGAACAAUCCGGUACUUGUUCCCACUCCCCCUCCCCCCUCUUUACUUCCAUGAUCUGGAUAUGUGGUGGCGCGUACAGCCGUGCCUGGUGUGCAUGGAAUGUAUUGCUUACUCACGGUUACUGUCAAUAGGAGUUCUUGCAUUGCUUGUUCGAUCAUGAUUUAUCCCUGGUGUGCAUGAAAUGUAUUGCUUAGUCAUGGUUACUGUCAAUAGGAGUUCAUGCAUUGCUUGUUCAAUUACAUUUAUCCCUGGUGUGCAUCAAAUGUAUUGCUUAGUCAUGGUUCCUGUUUGUAGGAAUUCAUGCAUUGCUUGUUCAAUUACUUUUAUCCCUGGUGUGCAUCAAAUGUAUUGCUUAGUCAUGGUUACUGUCAAUAGGAGUUCAUGCAUUGCUUGUUCAAUUACAUUGUGCACAGAAUGAGCCAAGCAGGGCCAAGUGGACAAAAGAGGAUACACAGAUCUUUUGUGAGCUUUACUGCCAACAAAUUGAGUUGGGUAACUGCAAGAGUGGCAACAUGAGCAAGUGGGGCUGGAAAGAUGUUCAGGAGAAGUUCCUAGCGGCGACUGGCAAGUUCAGGAACAGUGAGCAGUUUGGUUACAAGUACAGGCAGUUGAAGUUGCUUUGGCAGUUCAUCCAAGAUUUGCGGACAAAGUGCACAGGCUUGGGGCACCGAGAAGAUGGCUCUGUGAUUGCUAGUGAUAACUGGUGGUAGAAAAAUUGCAGGGUUAGUGAUAUGUGAACACCUCAUAUGUACUCCUUUCCUUCCUGUCGUAGCUACUGAAUGUUUUUGUGUUGUUAUUUGCAAUGCAGGGGCACGCAGACUGGUAUGAUUUGAAGGAUGGAUGGCCAGAAUACAUUGACGAGCUGGACCGCAUGUUCUGUGGAGUAGCAGUGACUGGAGAUACGUCCUUUGUUCCAGGGGUCAGCCGGCAGAUCAACUUCAUCAGCAGCGGCGAAGAAGAUGUUGCUGAUGCGGACUGUGCCACCCCUCGCAGCUGUGCCACCCCAGUCAGCAGUGGGAGCAAGAGGAGCUCAAGCAGCAUCCGCAGCACUGCUACAAGCCCCAGCAAGAAGAACAAGGGCGGUGCUGUUCAGAACAUGAACAGCAACAUGACAAGGUUCAACUCCAGUUACGAUCACAGGACAUCAAUUAUCCAAAGGGCCUUGGAGGAUAAGAUGAAGGAGGGUGAGGAUGUGAUGGACAAGAAGCAGCAGCGAGAGGAGGCUAGGAAGCAAGAACAGAAACUUGUGACAGAUUCAACGACAGAGCUUGGAGUGCACCUGAUGGAAGGACAACUCUGGAAUGGUGUCGUCAAGAUCUGCAUGGAUGAUGACCUACGCAACAUCUUCCUGUGCACACCUGUUCAAGCAAGGCUGUCAAUGAUCAAGCAAUAUGCAUCAAUGGUGUAAACCAGACCCUAUGUCUUUUGUCUGUGCUUGGCAUGUCUUUUGUGUUACUGUCAUGUCUUGUUGUUGAAUUAAGUUGUGUUGGUAUUGUUUAUGUUGUGAGGAUGAACAUUUGAUGAACUGUGUUGGCUAAUCCUAUAUGAACAGCAUGGUUAUUAACAGCAUGGUUGUUCAUUAGAGCAGUUUGGUUAUUACUUGUUAAAGUUAUUGCCUCUGUCUUCAUAUGGGUAUUAUUUGACUGAAGGUAGCAGCAAUUACUACUGUGGCUACCAAUUGAUUUGUACUAACUUUUGCUGUGUUAUUUUGGAAUGCCCAGGAUGUUGCUGCUCAUUUUGGUGCCCAAGUGGAGGAGGAGGUCGAGGACUAGGAGGAGGAGGAGAAGUUGCUGGCCGAGUGGUGGGACCUAUUCUGGACAUUGGUGGUAGAAGACGAUGAUGAAGCACCAUUUAUCUAUGGUACGUAUGGAUAUGCUAUUCAUAUCGACAAGUAUUGCAAUAGAGGACCGUAUAGGAAUCCACCAUUGACUGGGGAGCAAUGGGUAGUUAACAAGCUUGCCAAUGAAACAUCUUGCUACACCAUGUUUAGGGUGACCCCACACAUGUUUUAUAGGCUGCAUGACUUGUUGACAUCUGAGUAUGGGCUGACUGCAUCAAAUAAAUCUAGCACUAUUGAGGCUCUAGGAUUGUUCCUUUGGAUAUGUGGGGCACCACAAUCUGUUAGGCAAGCAGAGGACAGAUUUGAGAGGUCACUAGCCACUGUGCAUAGCCUAUUCUACAAAGUCCUCAAUUGUCUGGUAGACCUAUCUGCCGACAUCAUUAAACCUAGGGACCCAGAGUUUAGAACAAUGCAUCCUAGGUUGCAAAACAAUAGGUUCUACCCUGAAUUCAAGGGUCGCAUAGGGGCAAUAGAUGGCACUCACAUUCCUGUAGUAGUGCCAAGUGCAAAGUUUAUGCAGCACAUGUGUAGGAAGGGCAAGACAACCCAGAAUGUCAUGGCCGCUUGUGACUUGGAUAUGGUUUUCACAUUUGUGCUUGCUGGGUGGCCAGGUUCAGUGCAUGACAUGAGGGUGUUUGACGAUGCAAUGACAACUUACAGCGACAAGUUCCCAAAGCCACCUAGAGGUACACACAACUGUUUCUAGGUCAGUAGUGUUUUCUAAUACAACCAUUGUAAACUUACAUGUAUCUACUGUUCCUAUAGAGAAAUACUACUUGGUGGACUCGGGGUAUGCAAACCGCACCGGCUUCCUAGCUCCUUACCGCCAGACCAAGUAUCACAUCCAAGACUUUCAAAACGCGCCAGAACCACAAGGUAUGAAGGAGAUAUUCAACUUUGCACAUUCAUCUCUUAGAAAUGUGAUCGAAAGGGCGUAUGGAGUGUUGAAAAUGAAGUGGCGCAUAUUGUUGGACAUCCCGGCCUAUCCACCAGAAACACAGACACGGAUUAUAUGUGCAUGCAUGGCGUUGCACAACUUCAUUAGGAUUAAUGGUGACUUUGAUAGUCACUUUGGUAUAGUGGAUAGCAACAUUAACUAUGUGCCUAUUGAAGGCACUCAGGAUCAGCCGGAAAUAGUGCCUGCACCGGAGAGUGCGGACAUGGCAAGCAUGAAUGCUUUCCGAGACAUGCUUGUUGAACAUUUGUUUGCUAGGUCUUGAAUAAUUUGUGUUUGAGGACAUAUAAUUGUUUAUGUACUUUGUGAUUCGGUGUAAUAAUUUUCGGUGUUGUUAAUCUGUAACAAUUUUAUGUGUUGUGAAUCUGUAAUAAUUUGCGGUGCACUUGAGAAUAUUUUCCUUGAAGUUUUGUUGUUGAAACAGCAAUGAAUUGUGUUGUCAUUUGGCCUGGUUCAGUGCAUUUUUUGGAGGACAACAUGCAUGGGCCAAUGCUGAAUUGUGUUAUAAUGGUGAAACAGUGCCUGGUAUAAUGAUUCAACAGUGUAAUGCAAAGUUUGGGGACAGCAGUUUGGACCUCCAGAAUUUGGCAUGAGGGCCAAAUUUCGGCUGCACAGUAACUCCCAAGUUGGGAGGUCCCAACUUGGACAACUAAACAAGGCCUUGGUUUGCUUGGCGUGUUGCCUAGGGGCCUGUGCAAGCAAGUUUUUGCUUGCUGAAGCAAGCCAGCCGGAACGGCUCUCCGGAGAGCCGUCGGCAAGGCAAGCCAUGCCCGGCAAAGCGAGGUUAGGCAAAGCUAUGUCCAAAACCAAAGGUGCCCGAAGUUUCCUUCAAAUUGCCGAGUACCGUAUGGAAGCGGUGAAGUCCAAUUAAUGUUAUUCCAUCCACUGCUCAUGGGGACCAAUGAAUAUCAAUUUGUUGGAUCUCGUCAAAAGCACAAGCAAGGUGUACGCGGACUAUAUGUUCUUUUCACUGCGCCAUAAACGAUUUGCAUUGGCGAGCGUGUUUGGCAUCCGCCAGCACAGUUUCAUCGGGCUGGUAGGGGAGCGACCGCCAGCACAAUAGCUACUGUGCUGGCGAGCUACAUAAGUACCUGCCAGCACAGAUAGAAUCAUUUGUAUUGGCGGACGCUUAUGAAGCCCGCCAGCACAUGUCGAUGGAUGCACCUGUCCGUCUCUCUGUCCCUGUGCAGCUGCAGUGGUGGAGGAACGAACAACUCGAUUGCAAGGAGUGUUCCGAAUCUGUGAGCAUUCUUAUCUCUUCGGCCGUAUCGAGGCAUAGGAUGACUUCUUGGGCCAUGUGCAUCUUCAAUUUGGCAUCCGAGAUGAGUGAUCUACUCCAGGAUUGUAGCGCUCGGGCCGUGGUGUGUAAUUUGUGCCCCAGUCUGUGAAAAGGCUCAGUAUGGGUUGUCGGCUUCGACCAUUCCCGGGUUACCACUUCGUAAAAUCCCGGUAGACGCGUCCAGAAGUUUUCAAAUUUGAAGGGCGUCAGUUUCCUAGGUCCAGAUUGCUAUGCCAGUAGCAGUGGGCAGUGGUCCGAGUGUGAGGAGGAGAGCGCGUGUAGAACAUGUUCGUUGAAAUUUAGAUCCCAGUUCUCGUUGCAGAAGACUCAGUCGAGUCGUGACAGCGUCGGUCGAUGCCUGGCAUUGCUCCAGGUGAACCUCCUAUUCUGUAAAUGUAUCUCUUUUAGACCACAGUAGUUUAGUGCAGUUCUAAAACUACUCAUCAGCCGCCAAUUUAGAUUGUUGUUGUUUUUAUCUCUUGCACUGUAUAUUAGGUUCAAAUCCCCUAGUACGAGCUAUUUAGUGUCAUCAUCCGGUCUCAUAGCUCGUAGGUGCCGCAGGAAGGCAGGCUUUGCGGAAUGACGUGAUGGGCCGUACACUGUCGUUAGUUGGAAGGGUGUGUUGCUAUAUUUUACUACCGUCGUUGCCAAAAUGGAGAAACGUCCCAUCUGGACAUCCUGUAUGUCAAAAACCCCGUCAUCCCAGAGGAUGAGAAUUCCUCCUUUUGUGCCUAAAGCCGGUCUGUAUGCGAAUUGAUUUAGUUGGUGUCCCCCCAAGAAAUUGGCUAAAGUUGCAUCGAUGUUUUGUAGUUUCGUUUCUUGUAGGCACACUAUGUGGCAUGUUGUUGUCGCAAUAGUUUCGCGGACCGUUAGACAUCUAGCUGGAGCGUUGAGACCUCUCACAUUCCAGCACAUUAUUUCAAAGUUGCCUAUCAUUUGGAUGUGGUUUGGUGUGCUUGCUUGUGCGUUGCGAGGCAUGUGGCAGAGUAGUACGUUGUUAUGAUGUGUGACGUGUAGAGCAUGGAUGUUGUUGAGGCCGUCGAGUGGCGGUCAUUGGCGCCGUUUGUCGUGGGAAUCAUCGAAUGCAACGUCCGAAGAUCAUGGCUAGCCGGGCAUAGUUUGUAGUUCGCGAGUUUUGUCCGAAGAUCGCAGCCAGCAGGGCUAGUGGAAAGUCCUCCAUGAAGGUCGCAGCCAGCAGGGUGAGGCACUGGAGAGGGGUGAGGCACUGAAAUGCAUAAAAGUAGCGAUACAUAAAGUAGUGGUAAAACGCAUGGGUGAUGUGCUUCAUCUUGAUUAUCAUGUAGCCGCGCACUGCUCGUGCUGGAGUUCUUCUACGGCGUCGCCCACCAUCUGCAGAAGCGCGUCAUUCAUCUGCUCUGUUGCGUCGUCGUCGAGGUCGAAGAGGGCAGUCAUGGCCGCUACGAUGAAGUCCGGUAGUGCCCCGUGGUACAUGCUGAUGAAGUCUUGUAGGACUUGUGUCAUUUCAUCGUCGUCGACGCCAAGCUUCCUCCAAAGGUUGCGCUGGGCUCGCUCUAUGGCCGGCAUGACCGGCUUCUUAGCCAGUCGCGCGCUCCGCCGCACCUUGUUCAUGUCGAAAGCGCGGCACGGGCGCGUGCGCCGCGUUGGAAGCUGUAGCACUGCCAGCGGUGGAGUCAGGAAGAGGUCAUCCACGCUUGGGGCAGGCACGGCAGGUGCAGGGUCCUGCUCGCUCUGCAGGCCAGUGCGUGCACUCCCCAGGUGAGCCUCGUCCAGCAACUGGGCUGUGGGCGCACUGCUAUUGUUGGCCGCGUGCAGCCCACCAUCUCGCACGUCGCAUGCGCCUCCGUCUAUGGCCGCACCUGCUGUAUCCAGCGACCUUGGUGCGCUCCCGUGCAGCAGCAGAGAAGGCGCGGCCCCUUCGUGGGCCACAUCUUGUAUCUGGGCCGUAGGCGCGCCCCCGCUUUGGCCCAGGAAGUUGGAAACCCCCUGGCACAGCAAGGCGCGCAUGCUCCCUUCGCGGGCCGCGCUCGUGGGCGUGCUCCCGCUGUGGGACGUGUCCGGGCCAGUGGGCGCGUCGCUGAUGUGGGCCGCCGCCUGGGCCAGCUUGGUGGAUUUUCCGGGUGCCAGAGCCUCGGGGCUGGCAGCUGCGUGGGCUGCCCCGUUGUCUUGUGCGUCGUCGUUGCAGACAAGGGCGCAUGAGCUUCUGUUGGCAUCCAGGAGGAGCUGGUGCAGCGCUUGGUCGACGUCGGCGACCGUCGGAGGUGGGGAUGCCGGCCUCAACAUCGCUCGCAGGGUGUCGAAGGCGCGCGGCACCGGCACUGGUUUGGACUAGGCUUGGUUUCCCCGUCGGCCCCAUCCACGCCCAGGAGGUCCGCAAGCCAGUUGGCCUUGUAGACGUAGUCAUAGGCGCCGACGAGGCUGCGGGUGCUCCUGGCAUCCAAAACUGCAGUGUUAGACGAAGACAUGUUGUAUACCUGGCUUUGCAUGUAAUAGGUCCUCAAGGCAUUAGCUUGUGCCACGAAGAGUGCUCGCAGCUGAUCAGGAGGCAUGCUGCUGAAGCCCUCUUCAUUUCCGUCGUGCUGUCUCCCGUGGUGUGGCGCAUAGCUCCUUUGUGGGGGGACCUGGUACGGUCCCGACGAAUCAGUUCCGUGCCGCCCCAGUACGCGUCUCCGUAUUUACGCCCGUGCCCCGGAUGCUCGUAGUCGUGGUCGCCGCCGUCGUCGUCGUCUCCCCGGCGUGGUGGCCAGAGGAAGCCCUUGUCCUUGCAGGUGGUCCUGUUGGGGGCAUUGGUUGCGGUCGUCCUUUGGGUCGCGACGCGUGUGUGGACCACGGCCACGCUCCCCGUCCCCCGCGUGAUCAGGGACGCGGGUAUAUCGCCGUGGGUGUCGCCAUUGCGCCGUUCGCGGCCCUGACCACCGUGCGCUCGGCGUCCUUCCCCGUCAUCCCGACCCUCUGGCUCCCGCGGCGGCCAAGGUAGGCAGGUUGGGAAGCGGGAGCGAGCGUCCGGCAGCGCGCCAUUGACGAGGCCAUAGCGCCACUCGUAUCUCCGGCGUACCGGGGUGAUACUCGCCGGGUUGUCGACCGCCUCGUGGAGGUUGCGCGCGGCCGCCGUGUAGUCCUCGAGCUGGGGCACGUGGAUGAAGACCUCAUAACGCGCGCCCUGUUGCCAAGACUCUGGCGGUGGCUCGGCCGACACGGAGAAGGCCGACGAUCUGUCUGUCAGCUUGUGCGUGAAGGCGAGCCACACCUUCUUGGGUAUCUCACUCGGGUCCGCCGUCCACGCCCACAGCUCAAUGUGCCUCGAGUCCGCCGGUUGGAUGAGGUUGGUGACUAUGCACUGAAGCGCGCAUUUGUGACUGACGACCCGCUCGACGAUCUCCAACGUCCAGGCGUGAGCCGGGAUCCCGUCGAGGCAGAGGCGCACCCUGUAGAAGAUGGGGAAGCUGAGGGCGUGCGUUAGGCUGCGCCAGGUAUGGAGACAAAUGUCGAUGCCGCCUCCGAAUGAAGCGUCCGUGGCGGCGUGCCUUUGCCGCGUCUGUGGCGUGCUCGAAGCGAAUAAGGUACGGCUCCGGCUAGUGGACUGUGACGGUGACCUUCCCAGGUUGCCAGCGGAGCUCUCGGGUGAUGAGGUCGGCGAUGUCCCGUACUCCGGCAUGUGGCGGCAGGUGGAGCGCCCACGGGAUGGGCGCAUGACUCCCAAUCUCUCGCAUCGUGGUCGAGAUGGAAGGAGUUGGAGACAAAGACUGUCUCUACCUCCGGCCUUGUGUGGGGGUCACCAAUUGCCAUGGCUGGUGCGCCGUUCUGGGGGGCUGCUGUCUGCUUGGCAGUGGUGGUGGCGGUGGCGGAGGAGGACGCUGGUGGUUGAGCUGCUGAGGCCGUGGACGCUGACGUGUUGGCGGGUAGGGGUGGCCGGCAGCAGGAGGUCGCAGUGAGGUGGAGAGGCGUGUGGCCCUGCAGUGACGCUGCCUAUGCCCCGAGCGGUGGCACCUGAAGCAGCGGACUGGGUCGCGGCACGCCGCGGCGUGGUGGUCCGAGGCGAGGCACUUGAAGCAGCGCCCGAUGGUCGCUUGGAUGAAGGCGCGUAGAGCCCCGGUUGUUGGCUGCGUUGAAGGCGCCCUGUAGCGCCGGUCGUUUUCGCGUCUGCGGCCGCCGUCUUGUCGAGGUUGCUCGGGCGGCGCACGGCGUGAAUGUUGUCUGCGACGCGUCACUGGUACCCAUGCUUGAGCGACGCCGCUUGGAGGUUCCUGGCGCCGGGUCCCGGCACGGUCCGUUGCCACAGGCACCCAUGCUUGAGCGGCGCUGCUUGCUGGUUCCCGACGUCGGGCCCCGUCACGGUCCGUUGCAGCUGCAGCAGGGGAGUGAAGGCACCACGGCCUUGUCUCGUCGCCGUAAAUGCAGCGCUCAAGGUAGGAGGCGUUAUGGCGCUGCGCGGUUGAGCCGUUGACUUUGCCCCGCCUGACUGCUUCCGCGUAGGAGAUCCGCAAGAUCGGCGUGGCAGGGGGAAGGUCCUUCAGCGCAGGUUGUAGAUCCGGUGUGGAAGCUCUCGCAUCUGGCGUUUCCGGUACAGCUUCUUCGUCCGAGAGCGUCGGACGGCCGCGCCGGGGCGGCGGUGGCGGGGAGUCGGAGAAGAAGCGCUCCGAUGAGGGGAGGGCAUGCGGCGUUUCAGGCUGGGGGUGCGGUGGCUGGGGCUGUUGCUGUCGGCGUUGGGUGCGCGGCGAGGGGUGCUAGGGGCCUGGCGGCGGCGGGAAGGAUGGUGGCGGGCGGGCGGCAUGGACUAGGAAGGACAAGCCGGACGAAAUGGUUUGGAUGAACCAGCCUUCAAGAAAACACUUGUUAUUGGAUCCGAAUAAUCCAAAGUUCAUUGGGCGGAAGUCGGAACCCGCUUUAGACUAGAUGUCCAUCAAUAAUAAUAUCCGAAAACACGUUGGAUCAUGUGGGGAUUAGCGUGGAGUCUGUCGAAGUGGAUUGAUGAAUGGGUUAAUUGGAUAUAUAUAUGUACCAUUGCAAAUAUUCAAGUUUGGAGACCUGCUAUUAUAAUUCGUCUAUCUAGAAAUAUGCCAUUACAAUUUGUGCUUUGAUUGAGAUGUGCUAUUUUUUACGUAUUUAAUGCUCUUGGACCCAGAUCCACAUGCAGGCUCUGGUAUUUUUGUAUGGACAAAAAUUGAACCCGCCCAAUCUCUACCCUCCUCGCAUUCGUUCUUCCUCAUCUUCCAUUCCUCCUCGCUCCUCCAAUGGAGGCUGCAGCUCCACCCAGCCUUGUGCGAGUUUGUCAUUGCCGAGCUCCGGACCAUCCUCGCGCGUCAGCCACUACCCCAUCCCCGUCCCCACGUCAACACCGCUGCGCGUGCUCCUAAACAGUCCCGCACACCGCGCUCCAUCCCGGCCCCAUCUGUGCGCCGCCGCAGGUGUGCUCCCACCCUGGCCCCGCUUGCACCGCCGCAGUCGCGCUCCCGCCCCGGCACUACUCGUGCGCCGCCGCAGCUGUGCUCCUGCCCUGGCCCCACUCGUGCGCCGCCAUGGCAACGCUCCCACCUAGCCCUGCCCGUGCGCCACCGCGGCCGUGCUCCCACGCCGACCUCACUCCCCCUGGCCUGGCUCGACCGCCACCGAGACUGCGCUCCACUUCGGCCUCGUUCAUCCGCUGCCGGUCAUGCUCUAGCUGUGCUUGCGCGCCCGCCAACACUGUGCUGCGCAGAAGGCUCAAGCCUAUCCCGACAGGUCGACAGCGUUGGCAGAGGAGCAUGAAGGAGAGAGGAAGGAUCUUGGACGACGGGAGGCGUCGGUGAUUGCUGGAAAGAAGCUAUAUGUGUAUAGAUGGCCAAAUGGGCGGCCCGACCCGGCCUGGCACGAGCACAGUUCGGCCCGGCACAUUUAGUCAUGCACAGUAGUUGUGCUAGGCAGUGCAAGCCCACAUAGGCCCACAUACCGAGGGAGCAGCUCAGGCACGGCCCGCUGCCUUUUCAGGCGGGUUGUACCGGCACGCUAGCCCGGUAGGCCUUAACGGGCUCGCCGUGCUCGUGCCAGCCCACGACCGACGGGGGGAGGCGGCGGAGCGCCGGAGCCGCGGAGGGUGCAAGGGUUCGGGGGCAGGGGAGGCGCGGAGGACGCCGACCACCACCUUCUCAACCGCGGUGACGACAAGGCGAUGAUGCCGGCACCCCAGGUUGCCUCGCCUGGCGCCAGACACCUACUGUGCGUGGGCGCCGCGGUCCGCACCGGGGUCCCCCGCGAGCGGGACUUCCCCAAGUCCACCUCCACGGGGGAGGCACGCCGCUCCUGGCGCCUCCGCGACCUCGCCUCCGGCGCUGACGGAUCUGCGAGGAGGAGGAGGCGAGGAGAUAGAGGCCAAAGGGAGGCGGUGGAGGGCCACGGGAGAAGUGGUGGGGGAGGCGGCGGAGGGUGCGGCGGUGGAGGGAAGUGGCGGGGGAGGCGGCGAAGGGCGCGAGGGAGGGCCGGGAGGCAGCGGAGGGUGGGAGGCGGUGGAGGGUGUGAGGGGCUGGCGCCCAGCGGUCGCGGGAAGCGGCGGGGGAGGCGGCGGCAGAAUGGAGGAGAACUGGAGAAGGUAGGGUUGAGGGUGGCCGGGUGGGGGGGUUUAUAUGCGGGUCGAGCGGACCUAAACAGGUCGGGGCGCCCGUUGAAAGUCCACGGGCCAAAUGGGCUAGACCGUGCCGGGCAGCACACGGGCUGAGGCAGCAGCUCAAGCCCAGCCCGUGGUGGGCCGGGCUGGCACGGGCAUGACGGCCGCCGUGCCGAGCCAUGCUUGGACCGGGCCAAAAAAUCGUGCCGUGGGCCAGCCCACGGGCCAUAUGGCUAACUAUAGCUAUGUGUUAUGGGGGCAUCUUUGUCCAUACGAAAAAUACCAUAGUCUGCAUGCGGGUCCAAGAGCAAAUACGUACAAUAUAGCACAUCUCAAACAAAUCACGAAUUGUAAUAGCAGUUCUCUAUAAACUUGGAUAUUUACAAUACGCUGUCUUAUAAGUUGUCUGGUAGAGCUAUAUAAUUUCUUAAUUUAUGCAUAUGAAAAAAGAAAUAUUAUGAAUUGCAUAGCAACAACAACUCGUACAAUAAUUGUUGAGUUGUCUCGUAAUCCUAAAAUUUAUCUCAUGAGGUGGUUGUUUCACGAAACAACGACCUCUUUCUCUCUCCUCGCUCUCUUUCCUCCACGUCAUCAAAAAUCCUACGUGGCACUACAUGAGAUGAUAUAUGAGACCGCUGACGUGUAGCAAUGUAUUUACCCUUAGAGCCCACAAAAUAGGCAGAGGACAAGGCAGAUAUAUGAGACCGCUGAUGUGUAGCAAUGUAUUUACCCUUAGAGUCCACAAAAUAGGCAGAGGACAAGGCAACUAUAUGCACGAGGCAAUAAUAAUGUACCAACAAAAAGGCCGCUUUGCUCGAGCUGCCCACCCUACGAGAUCGAUGUGACCUUUUUGUUUAUACUCCGUCUGUUGUCAAAGAUACAAAUAUCGAACUAAUAAUAAUGUAUCGUCAGAUUUAUGGAUUUACGUGCAUACCAUAUAUGCUGGGCCAAUGAUACUAUGGCCAAAUUUUUUGUUUUAUGCUUCUAUCAUUGGCUGCAACUCCAGCAGUAUUUCUUUGUGGGGUUGUGCAUUGCCCACACCUUUCCCUCUAGUCGCCGCCAUCGAGGCUCCCGCUCCCACUUUUGAUUUCAUCUUCGGCUACGAGAGGUAGUGACAGUGUGAGAGGAUGGCGGACCCAGCAUACAGUGAGUGAGGGCACAGGCCGACGCCUCAAAUUCAAGAACCGAGUAGUAUAUUUAAGCACUAUUUUACUGUACCCAGCACUCUAGGCCGCCGCUCAAUUUUGUGCUAGGUCCGUCAGAGAUGAGCACCAUCCAUUAGGUGUUGCACGAAUAAAAUUUUACCAAAUUUUCUGCUGUAACAUUUUUCCAAAUACGGUAGUACAUUUACAUUUUCUAAAAGCAGGCUAAUAGAUACACAAUUUACUAUGUCACGAGGACACAACAAUCUAUGAAGAUGCGUGCUAGGAUUGCGCUAACGCAAUCUGUUUAUGUUAAUUGGUAGAGAAGUUCUACAAUAUAAGUGCAAUUUAAUCAUCAUCCUAGCUAUACAGGUAGCUUAUAUGAACAGGUAGCUUAUAUGAAUGACGGGGCGUCCUGGAUGAUGCUCGUCGAAGAAGGCCCUUAUUGCAGCCUCUAUCAUUGGUACAUCUGACUUUUCACUUGUAUUCCAAGAGUAGCUCAAACCGAUGCCUACUCUUUUCAGAUUCGUCAGAUGCUCGACGCCGGCAAGCCUGAUGCCACACGUCUUCACUUCACACACACCCAAAUGAAACCUGAGGGUCUCAAGCUUGGGUACUGCUCCAGCUUGGAAGUGGAAGGAGUGGCACCGCUGAAUAAGUGGUUGACGAGUUUCGAAGUAAUCAAGAGAUCUGAACGCCGCACUGCUGCUGAAGACAAUCCCUUCAUCAGGGACAUCACGCACAAAUAGCUCAAGAUGGGCAAGGGCAGGUAACCCUGCAAGAACAGAAAUAUCAUCCUUGCACAGCUUGUCAACAUGGAUUUCCAGGCUGCUGAGCGUGCUAAGCUGACCAACCCACAUAGGUAACCUUGGAAUCUGGAAUAGCAGGUGGAGUUGCUCGAGACGACAGUCAGACAAGCACAAUGAGUUCCACCCAUCAUAGUAGCCUGUAAGGGUUUCUUCUAAUGCGAAAACAGUGAAAUGCCUCAGAUUGCCAUUGAGUAACUUCUGGAUGGAAUAAAACAGAGCAUCCUUAUGUGUUUCCAUAGUGGGGAACCUACGAUCAGUGAUAAACAUGUACAGCUCCCUUAGAUUCAGCAAUUCCCCGAUAGCCCUUAAAUUAUCGACCGACUGCUUGCUUGGAUUGAUCCAGUUCAGAGUACGAAGAGAUUUCAUCUUGCUAAUCCCAUCAGGAUAAGAUAUGCACUUAAAAACCUCCAAAUAUGACAAAGCAGGCAAAUGGACAAUAUCAUGAGGAAGUUGGGACACCCGCCCAUGUAUAACCAAUGUCUCCAAAUGAUGUAGCCCACAAAUUUGUUUAGGCAGUUCAAUGCUCGAUCCACUAACAUUUAAGUACCUCAGUUGAAACAGUUUCCCAAUUGGAGUGAGGUCCAAACCAUCAACCUUACAAACAAACAGAACUCGGAUAAACUUCAGCUCCAACAGUUCAAUGCUAUGAUCAUGCCACCCAAAACUACACAGUGAUCGAACAUGUGUCAGACUCAUGCGAGGUGCGAUUUUAUCAAGUUCUGCCUCACCAAGCUGCAGAGAGAGCCGGCGAAUCUGGCAAUGCUGUCUUCUGGUGAUUGUCUCUAUGUUUUCUACCAUGCACAGAAAAUUCUCUUCUGCAGACUUGGACACAAUUAGAUCCAGAACCAUAUCAUGAACUUUAUAAUAGUUACGCUCCAUGUUCCAAAGCGCACGAUCUUCCACAAGCUGGAUGAUCAUACUCCUAUUCACCAAUUCAUUGAAAUAGCUCCCCGCAAUUUCCAAUGCAUCUCUCCCAUCUAUUCCACAGAUAAAUCCUUCAGCUACCCAUUGCAUAACUAAGUGAUCCUUUUCAAUAUCAUGAUCCUCCGGAUACAUACCAAUAUAUAAUAAGCAUGUCUUCAGAUGAUGAGGAAGAUGAGUGUAACUAAGGUUUAGUAUCUGUCUCAUCCCUUCUAAAGUUGGAUUUGACCUCAGAUCGGAACGUAAAGAAUUAAGGACACAGUUCCAUUGGCUCACUGAUCUGUUCGAUUGACUAGCUAAAAGGCUAGCUAUACUGAUGAUUGCUAGUGGCAG